UAUACCAUGCAAGUCGUACCAGGUAACCAGUGCUUGCACCGGUGGAUUAGUGGCGAACGGGUGAGUAACACGUGAGUAACCUGCCCCUGACUUCGGGAUAAGCCCGGGAAACUGGGUCUAAUACCGGAUAUGACUUCCUGCUGCAUGGCAGGGGGUGGAAAGAUUUAUCGGUUGGGGAUGGACUCGCGGCCUAUCAGCUUGUUGGUGAGGUAAUGGCUCACCAAGGCGACGACGGGUAGCCGGCCUGAGAGGGUGACCGGCCACACUGGGACUGAGACACGGCCCAAACUCCUACGGGAGGCAGCAGUGGGGAAUAUUGCACAAUGGGCGAAAGCCUGAUGCAGCGACGCCGCGUGAGGGAUGACGGCCUUCGGGUUGUAAACCUCUUUCAGUAGGGAAGAAGCCCCUUUUGGGGGUGACGGUACUUGCAGAAGAAGCGCCGGCUAACUACGUGCCAGCAGCCGCGGUAAUACGUAGGGCGCAAGCGUUAUCCGGAAUUAUUGGGCGUAAAGAGCUCGUAGGCGGUUUGUCGCGUCUGCCGUGAAAGUCCGAGGCUCAACCUCGGAUCUGCGGUGGGUACGGGCAGACUAGAGUGAUGUAGGGGAGACUGGAAUUCCUG
rnacentral:rRNA from 1 species